CCCAGGACCGUUGCCCCCAGUGGCCCUGUGUUUAGUAUCUGAGGACCCUCGGCACUGAUUUCCACAGAGGCCACACAAAUGUGCACAGCAAGGUAGAAGGGUUUCUUUCCCCAUACUGUCGCCAGCGGUUAUUGUUUUCUUGUGUUCUUCAUGGUAGGUUUUCUGACUCGGUGAGGUAGACUCUCAAGACAGUUCGGCUUGCCUUUCCCUGGUGGCCAGAGAUAGAAACAGAAGUCUGUUGCUCACAGUUCUGGGGCUGGGAAGGCCAGGCCACACACUCAGGACCUGCCCGGCGGCCCACGCGUGGAUGGCCAUCCUCUCACUGUGUCCUCAUGUUGCUCUCUGUGGUCUCUAUGGUGACACUAAUUCUAUUCACAAAGGCUCCCCUUGUGAGCCAGUACCUCCAAGGCCCCGCCUCCUAAUAUCAUCACCGUGGGAGUUAGGACUCCAACAUGUGCGCUUGGGGGAUUGGAUGCUCAGUCUAGCUGAAGAGCUUUCUCUCAGUGUGCCCCAGGUGUGUGCCUGCCAGGAAUCUCGGAAUGUCCUGAGCCUCAGUUCUCGGUCGGUGGAAGGAGCCAGCAGCACCUCAGCUUCCAGGGCUGCUCUGGGAGAAUGUGUGAUUGACAGGAGCAGGGCACAGUUUAUCUGGAACAAAAUGAGAUGGACCAUUUUAUUGCAGCAAGUGAGAGGCAGAAGUGUUUCUAUCUUAGGAGACUUCCACCUUUGUCCCAGCAAUUUCAGUGGGGUUUACCGGCAGUGUUUGCUUCCCUCUAUCCUUUGGUCAAUCAGUGUGAAAGGACAGCCAACAUUUCAAAUAUUUUUAAAUUAAAAAUAGAUUACAAAAACACUUUCGGACUCUUUUUCCAGCUGUAAAAUUAAGCUCAUCUACCUAGAAACUCAGUAAAUGAAGUGCAUCCCUACAUAUUUGCUGAGGGAAAGAGUUCAACAGUCUUUCUUUCUGAGGGAAAGAGAAUUUUUUUCCAAAUUCUGGUCUCUAUGUGCUGAAAAGAACAUGUUCCGUGUUCUGCUGGCUAGCACAAUUAGAAGCUGGACCACCUACAGCUUCUAGAACUUGCUCCUUGUCCUAGCUGUCAUGAGACUUAUAUGAUAAGAAAGAAGAUGAAUGUGUCUCUAAACCAAGUCGUUUCUAGUCCUUGACGACACCUUCUUCCACAUUUCUCACCAUGAAUACUGUCCUGGUCAAUGUUUGCUUGGCAGAGAACUCCUUUGUUUUCCAAAGUGUAAAAUUUUAGUUAACUCAGUUAGAGAUGCCUGCCAAAUCCUGUAGCACUAUUUCUUUCAUGUCUUUGGUCUUCAUUCAUAGUAGUUUUAAUGUUUCUUUGUACCUCUUGGUUGAUUCUGGCUGUUGCUACAUUUUCCAUAAUAAUGAUAGAGCUGUCGAGGGUGCUGUACAUCCUCACAGUUAUCCCUGUCCUGUUUCCAGACUUUGUCCUGGAUGCAGCCUCCCUGAGAGUCCGCAGAGACAGGCUGUGCCCGCUCUGUCCUCCCACCCCUUCCCCUUCUCUGGCGGCUCGUGAGUCCUUGGGAGGCGGGGUCUUUCCAUCUGUACCUUGAGGAAGAGCUAUCAGAGGGAGGGAACCUACAAUGGGCACGAUUAACCAGGGCAGCCACAGAACACCACAACUUCCUACACGGAAAACACGAAAGAGAAAUUUUUAAAUGCAGACUAUCUGACUUUUAAAAUAUGCUUUAAAUAAUGGCGGGCCAGUGACACAGGGUGACUCCUGUCAUGUGCCUCACUUUGAAACCUUUCCCUUCUAAAUAUAGUCAGAAAUAUUUUUCAGUUACAAUGAAAAAGUCAAUUACCUUUUCAAGGACUCACACACCUGUAUAUUGCAAUUCAUUGUCUGCCAUUAUUUUAUGCAUGCCGGUCUUAAUAAUCGAGACUUCAGUUCUUGAAAACAGUCUUCUAAAAACAUGUGGUAGAGAGCUUGCUAUGCCCAUGCAUGCAAGAGGCCCUGGGUUCCAUCCUCCAUACCACAAAAAUACGUAAAUAAAAUAGAAAAAUACGUAAAUAAAUAGACCUUGGAUGAGGACAAGUUCCAGGGAGCUGCCCGGUGGCGGAAGAAGGCGACUCGAUCUUGGCAGGCUGCAGAAACCUGGACCCAGCCCUGGAAGGCUGAGUCCAGCGGCCCAGCCUCGCUGUUCGACCCCAGUGCUGCAAAUGCUCCGGCCUGGAGCUUCCCCAGGAGCGUCCGAAGGCUGUGGAGCUCUGGGAAGUGCGGCUUAUGAGAAACAGAGGCCACCCUCAAUUCCCAGUUGAAAUUAAAGCCCUUGUGAAGCAGUGGACACUUGCGGUGCUAGGUGCCAGGGAAACUGAGGCACAGGAGUAGACCAGGCCGCCCCCCGCCCACCACUAGAGCUGGUGGUGCAUGUGGACAGAGGUUUUCCUGUGGUGCAGUGUAGCUUGGGCUGGGGGCUGAAUUGUCUCUAAUGUCAUCUCUGCAUCCCCACUUUUACAUGGCCCUCACCUGGGGUCUAAAGUUGAAGUUUUAGAAAGUUUUCCAGGGAAAGGUAUAAUUUAGGCUUUGGGAUUCUGUCAGUGAAAGGCCCCUUUACCUCCUUUUAAUUCCCCACUGUCGUGUUUCCAUUUAAGGCUACUUUUCCUCCAACAGCGUCGCCCCUAAAGCUGGAGUCCUUUUAUAGCCUCUUUCCUGGUCCCUUCGGAAAUGCCCGGCGGGGUGGGUCUGCAGCAGAUUAGAGAGAAUCACCCCCACACAGCAGAGACACCAGAGGGCGCCGCUGGGCCGGCAGGGCAACAGCCCCGUCCUGGAGGCCCCCUCCUGCGAGGUCCUCGACCUGGAGCCCACCACGCUGUCGUCACCUCCCUCCCCAAACUGCCCAGCUUCCGGCUGUGUCCGGCAGAGCUGAAGCGAAGCUCAGCCCCGCCACCUGGAACCGGAAGCUGACGGUUACA